GGAGCUGUAGCUCAGUUUGGUUAAAGCAUCCGCCUGUCACGCGGAAGGUCGCGAAUUAAAGUUUUGUCAGCUCUGCCA
rnacentral:tRNA from 1 species